rnacentral:rRNA from 1 species
GAUGAACGCUGGCGGCGUGCCUAAUACAUGCAAGUCGAGCGAACAGACGAGGAGCUUGCUCCUCUGACGUUAGCGGCGGACGGGUGAGUAACACGUGGAUAACCUCCCUAUAAGACUGGGAUAACUUCGGGAAACCGGAGCUACUACCGGAUAAUAUAUUGAACCGCAUGGUUCAAUAGUGAAAGACGGUUUUGCUGUCACUUAUAGAUGGAUCCGCGCCGCAUUAGCUAGUUGGUAAGGUAACGGCUUACCAAGGCAACGAUGCGUAGCCGACCUGAGAGGGUGAUCGGCCACACUGGAACUGAGACACGGUCCAGACUCCUACGGGAGGCAGCAGUAGGGAAUCUUCCGCAAUGGGCGAAAGCUUGACGGAGCAACGCCGCGUGAGUGAUGAAGGUCUUCGGAUCGUAGAACUCUGUUAUUAGGGAAGAACAAAUGUGUAAGUAACUAUGCACGUCUUGACGGUACCUAAACAGAAAGCCACGGCUAACUACGUG